UGGUAUUCUGAUCCAAAAAAAAAUUACCAUGCUAUUAAAAGAUAAAGGCUUAAAAAUUAAAGAAUCUGGCGGUAAUGUCAACCAAAUUAGAGGAACCUGUCCUGUGAGCGAUAAUCCGCGAUAAAUCUUACCUUGUUUAGUAAAGCUUAUUAAUUAUUUAGUAGGUUAAUUAAUAUGAUCAGCCGGUAUACCGCCAUUUUGAAGUGAUCUCUGAAGAGAUUACUGUAAAAUUUGAUUUUAUAAAAUAAAACAAGAAAAUAUAAGUCAAGAAAGCUGAAUCAUAAUUCAAUAAUAGCUUUUGAUAAAUUUAUAUUUAGUAAAUUAGGUCCAGGUGCCGCCAAUAACAAGAGUAGAGAUGGGUUACAAUUUUAUUGAAGAUAAAUAUAAUUAA
rnacentral:rRNA from 1 species